AUAUUUUCCUUUUGCCCUAACUAUUUGAGAUUCUCGAGCACACUUGAUGAAAACUUGCAUGCUUAUUUACCAUACCUUAAGAGGACCAUAUACACAUGACCAGUCUGUUCUGGGUCACUGCUUCGUUAGCAAACACAACUUCAUAUUCCUUCACGGAUGAUCUAUCACUGGUUUUGGGCCAACCCUCUGGAAGACUCUGAUUUGAAUGGAUAGCAUCUGCGGCCGACCCAUUAUUAAUCCCGGUUCCAUCAUCAAGAAAUCCAAUUUUUUUAUUCUGAUUCAGUAUAAACAUGCAUGUUAAUUACUUCUCGUAGCAAUAUGUCUUCAUAUGUUUCUUGACUGAUUUAGGACCCGUAAGUACCAUAUAGUAUUAUCGUUGUUCCAGAUGAUCAACCAAAAGCAAUAAUAGCAAAGGUUGAUGGUGGGAUUAUUUUCAGGGCUAACAAAAACUGAUAAUUGAACGAAUUAGGGAGCAUCUAUUAACAAGAAAAAGCAACCGACCUCAUUGUUAUUUUUGCUUCUUGAGGAAAUCCGAAUCCUUCAUGAUUACCUUUGACCAACAAAAUA
rnacentral:lncRNA from 1 species